GUCAGCCCAGUCCCAGGUUGCGGGAGCAACGUCGUUGGAAACCUGUUUCUGCCAGCACCCAGACCUGUUUUUCCGCAGUUCCCGACCAUGCCCGGCUUCUUGCUUUGGACCCCGCUUCGCCCUUGGAGGAUAGUCUCCAGACCCUCGACCCAGGACCAGACUCCGACCACGCCUCACGGUAACCCCCCCCCGGACCAGCACAGUGUCCUUAACUGCCCUGCAAGAAAGGGCAAGACAGAGGCAAGAGGCGGUGACAACAACAACAACAGCACCACCACAGUAAUGAUCCAGAUGACGUCCGUCAGCAGAGCA